rnacentral:rRNA from 1 species
AGAGUUUGAUCAUGGCUCAGGACGAACGCUGGCGGCGUGCCUAACACAUGCAAGUCGAGCGGAGAUAAGCGGAUGGUAACUGAUAUCUACUUUAGCGGCGGACGGGUGAGUAACACGUGGGCAACCUGCCUCGAAGUGGGGGAUAACACCGAGAAAUCGGUGCUAAUACCGCAUAACAUACAGACACCACCUGGUGACAGUAUCAAAGGAGUAAUCCGCUUUGAGAUGGGCCCGCGGCUGAUUAGCUAGUUGGUGAGGUAAUGGCUCACCAAGGCGACGAUCAGUAGCCGACCUGGGAGGGUGACCGGCCACACUGGAACUGAGACACGGUCCAGACUCCUACGGGAGGCAGCAGUGGGGAAUAUUGCGCAAUGGGGGAAACCCUGACGCAGCAACGCCGCGUGGAGAAAGAAGGUCUUCGGAUUGUAAACUCCUGUCUUCUGGUACGAUAAUGACGGUACCAGAGGAGGAAGCCACGGCUAACUACGUGCCAGCAGCCGCGGUAAUACGUAGGUGGCGAGCGUUGUCCGGAAUUACUGGGCGUAAAGGGCGCGUAGGCGGUUCUUUAAGUUAGAUGUGAAAACCCAGGGCUUAACUUUGGGAGUGCAUUUAAAACUGAAGGGCUCGAGUGCAGGAGAGGUAAGUGGAAUUCCUAGUGUAGCGGUGAAAUGCGUAGAUAUUAGGAGGAACACCAGUGGCGAAGGCGACUUACUGGACUGUAACUGACGCUGAGGCGCGAAAGCGUGGGGAGCAAACAGGAUUAGAUACCCUGGUAGUCCACGCUGUAAACGAUGGAUACUAGGUGUGGGAAGGAUCGACCCCCUCCGUGCCGCAGUUAACGCA